AUGUCCACCUCCUCCGCCGUCCCCUCCUCUGGCCUCAACUACAACACCUCAGAACCUCUCAGCCGGACGAACUAUGUUCUCUGGCGAGCCCAAGCACGAUCCCAGAUAUUGGGUGCCGGCUUGUUUGGCUAUAUAGAUCGGACUAUAGAGGAGCCUAAAAAAAUCAUCAGCAAAGAUAAAGAUGGCAAAGAUCAGGUAGUUUUCAACCCUGAUCAUAAUCCUUGGCUUGUUCAAGAU
rnacentral:rRNA from 1 species